rnacentral:rRNA from 1 species
GACGAACGCUGGCGGCGUGCCUAAUACAUGCAAGUAGAACGCUGAAGGAGGAGCUUGCUUCUCUGGAUGAGUUGCGAACGGGUGAGUAACGCGUAGGUAACCUGCCUGGUAGCGGGGGAUAACUAUUGGAAACGAUAGCUAAUACCGCAUAAGAGUAGAUGUCGCAUGACAUUUGCUUAAAAGGUGCAAUUGCAUCACUACCAGAUGGACCUGCGUUGUAUUAGCUAGUUGGUGAGGUAACGGCUCACCAAGGCAACGAUUCAUAGCCGACCUGAGAGGGUGAUCGGCCACACUGGGACUGAGACACGGCCCAGACUCCUACGGGAGGCAGCAGUAGGGAAUCUUCGGCAAUGGACGGAAGUCUGACCGAGCAACGCCGCGUGAGUGAAGAAGGUUUUCGGAUCGUAAAGCUCUGUUGUAAGAGAAGAACGAGUGUGAGAGUGGAAAGUUCACACUGUGACGGUAUCUUACCAGAAAGGGACGGCUAACUACGUG